UAGCAUUCUUCUCUAUCCACAAUUUAUUUAUAACUAGCUGACCCGGCAGACUUCGUAGUGCCUCAAUCGAUAAAUAAAAGACCCAAACUUUUGUAUAAAAUAAAUUUAAGACAGACAAAAGGAAGCCGUCCGAUGGGGGACAUAUCAAAGGAAAAACAAAAUUGUUAUUUUUAUUUAAUUCCGAGCAUUUUCAUAUUUAAGGUAAAAGCACUAAUGCUGGACAUUGAACUAAAAGAUGACACUUUAAAAAAAAAUAUAUUCUAAUAAGGAAACUAAACACUUAAAUAACAUUGCUAUUAAUGUUAAAGACACCUAGUACCAUCUAUGAUACAUUCUCAAAAGCUUGCGUACAGUGUUAGAAGCAAAUUUCAAAAUGGCAUCAGUUGACAACAAACAAUGUGAGCAGGUUGACGUUUUGCGCGUAAUUCUUAGCGUUUUCCUUAAGCCAUCUGACUUUUAACAGCUUAAGUUUCGAGCACGAUGCCGCCAGUAAAGGGUCAGAUGUUUCAAUACUCUGAAGCCAAUAUUGAAGAAGCCAUAAAAGAAUGUAUAUGUUUGAGGGUUUACUGGUGGCCCUGAGGCCUUUCCAGUUUCAUAAGGACAGAAGGGGCGGAAUUUGCUAACAGCUACCCGAGCGCCUCCAAGGGAGACCUAACAACUCAAGAGUAGCUGCUUCGCGAAUGAAUCUACUACCGGACCGGGAUCGCGACCCACUGAGAAGAUCCGGCGAGAAACUCAACGGGCUGAUGCUUAGGUUAGGUUGCACGUCGAACUCUUUGCCGAGUUCGACGAGUACGAUUACCGGGAUCUCUACUCCCUAGUGUUAAAGCGGAAGGCGUCUAAUGCAAGGGUUAUUGGAUCUGAUGGAUCCGUAAGGACGUGUCUAGGGCGACGACGGUGACUGGCUCCUGCGUGGUCAGGAUUCGGGGAGUAGUCAGCGGCGGCAACGAUAAGGCGAUUACUAUGACGCAUUGCCUUAUCGAAGUAACGUUCCGACGCGGACUUCAUGUAUUUUCUGAUCGGUUCGAGGUCCAAGUCGUCUUGUAAGUCGACGCUCCUCACGAACCACGGGGCUCCGACUGCUAACAUGCAAAAACAAGAUUGUAGGGAUUGGAGGGUGUCUAUGCGUGUGCGGGCCGCGUGAGCAAACACCACACUCGCGUAAGUCAUGACCGGCCUUAUGUAAGCUUUGUAAAGUGUCACCUUGUUCCGAAGGGACAUUUUACUCCGCUUACAGAUCAUGGGGUAGAGUCUGCCGAGAAUAAAAGCGGCACGGUCGCAGACUGAUUUUAUAUGUGGGCGGAAUGUCAUGGAUGCAUCCAGGGUGACUCCCAAGUACUUGACCUUCCUGGUCCAGGGUAUGAGGCGGGGCGUUCCGACAGCUACUGCGGCAAAGAAAUUUGGAGUUCCACGAGUAACUUUAUUAAAUAAAGUCAUGGGAAAGACACCUACUAUGCGUAAAAUGGGAAGAAGUUGUUAUUUAACCGAAUAUAUAGAAAAAAUACUCGUAACAUGGGUAAAAGCUAUGGUCAAACAAGGGUUUCCAAUAGGAAAAGAUAAUUUACAAGAUAGCGUUAAGAAAAUAGUUGAUGAUCUUAAGAUUGAUUAUAAUUGUUUAUAAUAAAACUAACGUUAAAGUCGUGUCUAUUAUUAGUGCCAACUGAUGUCAAUUUUUGGUGGAUUUGAUUUUCGAUGCUGUCAUCUUUUAGUGUCUAUGGCAAAACUAACAAGUUUGUAAUUUUUUGUAGAAACUACAACAGUAUUGAAAUAUUUUAUAUGAAAAAAUUGAUCUCUAAAUGUUGCUCUAACAGUAAAAAAAAAGAUUUAAUAUAAUAUUUGAUAAAUACAUUUGAUAACUGAGAA